rnacentral:rRNA from 1 species
GACAGAGGGUGCAAACGUUGUUCGGAAUUACUGGGCGUAAAGCGCGUGUAGGCAGUCCUGCAAGUCAGGGGUGAAAGCCCUGGGCUCAACCUAGGAAGUGCACUUGAAACUGCAGGACUGGAGUCCUGGAGAGGAAGGCGGAAUUCUCGGUGUAGAGGUGAAAUUCGUAGAUAUCGAGAGGAACACCGGUGGCGAAGGCGGCCUUCUGGACAGUGACUGACGCUGAGACGCGAAAGCGUGGGGAGCAAACAGG